UAGGGAAUCUUCGGCAAUGGACGAAAGUCUGACCGAGCAACGCCGCGUGAGUGAAGAAGGUUUUCGGAUCGUAAAACUCUGUUGUUAGAGAAGAACAAGGACGUUAGUAACUGAACGUCCCCUGACGGUAUCUAACCAGAAAGCCACGGCUAACUACGUGCCAGCAGCCGCGGUAAUACGUAGGUGGCAAGCGUUGUCCGGAUUUAUUGGGCGUAAAGCGAGCGCAGGCGGUUUCUUAAGUCUGAUGUGAAAGCCCCCGGCUCAACCGGGGAGGGUCAUUGGAAACUGGGAGACUUGAAUGCAGAAGAGGAGAGUGGAAUUCCAUGUGUAGCGGUGAAAUGCGUAGAUAUAUGGAGGAACACCAGUGGCGAAGGCGGCUCUCUGGUAUGUAACUGACGCUGAGGCUAGAAAGCGUGUGUAGCAAACAGG
rnacentral:rRNA from 1 species